rnacentral:rRNA from 1 species
AUGAACGCUGGCGGCGUGCCUAAUACCUGCAAGUCGAGCGAACGGACGAGAAGCUUGCUUCUCUGAUGUUAGCGGCGGACGGGUGAGUAACACGUGGAUAACCUACCUAUAAGACUGGGAUAACUUCGGGAAACCGGAGCUAAUACCGGAUAAUAUUUUGAACCGCAUGGUUCAAAAGUGAAAGACGGUCUUGCUGUCACUUAUAGAUGGAUCCGCGCUGCAUUAGCUAGUUGGUAAGGUAACGGCUUACCAAGGCAACGAUGCAUAGCCGACCUGAGAGGGUGAUCGGCCACACUGGAACUGAGACACGGUCCAGACUCCUACGGGAGGCAGCAGUAGGGAAUCUUCCGCAAUGGGCGAAAGCCUGACGGAGCAACGCCGCGUGAGUGAUGAAGGUCUUCGGAUCGUAAAACUCUGUUAUUAGGGAAGAACAUAUGUGUAAGUAACUGUGCGCAUCUUGACGGUACCUAAUCAGAAAGCCACGGCUAACUACGUG